UACAGAGGUCCCAAGCGUUGUUCGGAUUCACUGGGCGUAAAGGGUGCGUAGGCGGGUCUUUAAGUCAGGGGUGAAAUCCUGGAGCUCAACUCCAGAACUGCCUUUGAUACUGAAGAUCUUGAGUUCGGGAGAGGUGAGUGGAAUUCCGAGUGUAGAGGUGAAAUUCGUAGAUAUUCGGAAGAACACCAGUGGCGAAGGCGACUUACUGGACACAUAUUGACGCUGAGGUGCGAAAGCGUGGGGAGCAAACAGG
rnacentral:rRNA from 1 species